rnacentral:rRNA from 1 species
UACGUAGGGUGCGAGCGUUGUCCGGAAUUAUUGGGCGUAAAGGGCUCGUAGGCGGUCUGUCGCGUCGGGAGUGAAAACUCAGGGCUUAACCCUGAGCCUGCUUCCGAUACGGGCAGACUAGAGGUAUGCAGGGGAGAACGGAAUUCCUGGUGUAGCGGUGAAAUGCGCAGAUAUCAGGAGGAACACCGGUGGCGAAGGCGGUUCUCUGGGCAUUACCUGACGCUGAGGAGCGAAAGUGUGGGGGAGCGAACAGG